AGGUGCUGCAUGGCUGUCGUCAGCUCGUGUCGUGAGACGUUGGGUUAAGUCCCGCAACGAGCGCAACCCUCGCCAUUAGUUGCCAUCAUUUAGUUGGGCACUCUAAUGGGACUGCCGGUGUCAAACCGGAGGAAGGUGGGGAUGACGUCAAGUCCUCAUGGCCUUUAUGACCAGGGCUACACACGUACUACAAUGGCCGAUACAAAGGGCAGCCAUGGUGCGAACUGGAGCAAAUCCCUUAAAGUCGGUCUCAGUCCGGAUCGGAGUCUGCAACUCGACUCCGCGAAGUUGGAAUCGCUAGUAAUCGUGGAUCAGCAUGCCACGGUGAAUACGUUCCCGGGCCUUGUACACACCGCCCGUCACACCACGGAAGUUGGUUGUACCAGAAGUAGUUGAGCGAACCUUCGGGGCGCAGACUACCAAGGUAUGGCUGGUAACUGGGGUGAAGUCGUAACAAGGUA
rnacentral:rRNA from 1 species